rnacentral:rRNA from 1 species
UACGUAGGGGGCAAGCGUUGUCCGGAAUCAUUGGGCGUAAAGAGCUCGUAGGCGGUCUGUUGCGUCCGCUGUGAAAACUCGGGGCUUAACCCCGAGCCUGCAGUGGAUACGGGCAGACUAGAGGUAGGUAGGGGAGAAUGGAAUUCCCGGUGUAGCGGUGAAAUGCGCAGAUAUCGGGAGGAACACCGGUGGCGAAGGCGGUUCUCUGGGCCUUACCUGACGCUGAGAAGCGAAAGCAUGGGGAGCGAACAGG